rnacentral:rRNA from 1 species
GGAUUAGAUACCCUGGUAGUCCACGCCGUAAACGAUGGUUACUAGCUGUGUGAACUUCGGUUUGCGUGGCUAAGCGAAAGUGAUAAGUAACCCACCUGGGGAGUACGUUCGCAAGAAUGAAACUCAAAGGAAUUGACGGGGGCCCGCACAAGCGGUGGAGCAUGUGGUUUAAUUCGAUGAUACGCGAGGAACCUUACCAGGGCUUAAAUGUAAGUUGCAUUAGCUAGAGAUAGCUAUUUCUUCGGACUACUUACAAGGUGCUGCAUGGUUGUCGUCAGCUCGUGCCG